rnacentral:rRNA from 1 species
UACGUAGGGGGCAAGCGUUGUCCGGAAUCAUUGGGCGUAAAGAGCGUGUAGGCGGCUCGAUAAGUCUGCUGUGAAAGUCCAGGGCUCAACCCUGGAAUGCCGGUGGAUACUGUCGGGCUAGAGUCCGGAAGAGGAGAGUGGAAUUCCUGGUGUAGCGGUGAAAUGCGCAGAUAUCAGGAAGAACACCCGUGGCGAAGGCGGCUCUCUGGGACGGUACUGACGCUGAGACGCGAAAGCGUGGGGAGCGAACAGG